rnacentral:rRNA from 1 species
CCUACGGGAGGCAGCAGUGAGGAAUAUUGGUCAAUGGGCGAGAGCCUGAACCAGCCAAGUCGCGUGAAGGAUGACUGUCUUAUGGAUUGUAAACUUCUUUUAUACGGGAAUAACAAGAGUCACGUGUGACUCCCUGCAUGUACCGUAUGAAUAAGCAUCGGCUAACUCCGUGCCAGCAGCCGCGGUAAUACGGAGGAUGCGAGCGUUAUCCGGAUUUAUUGGGUUUAAAGGGUGCGUAGGCGGCCUGUUAAGUCAGCGGUGAAAUCUAGGAGCUUAACUCCUAAAUUGCCAUUGAUACUGGCGGGCUUGAGUGUAGAUGAGGUAGGCGGAAUGCGUGGUGUAGCGGUGGAAUGCAUAGAUAUCACGCAGAACUCCGAUUGCGAAGGCAGCUUACUAAGGUACAACUGACGCUGAAGCACGAAAGCGUGGGUAUCAAACAGGAUUAGAUACCCCAGUAGUC